AGCUGACUUCUCUCCCUGGAGCUUUCUAUACAGGGAGAGGCAUACUGUAGUCCAUCUGCUGAGGUAGCCAGGACACAGUGCACUGGAUCACUCACAGGAGCACUGAGGACAGUGAUUGUGUGCUGGUACAACUUGACUUCGUCCUUCCCGCCGAGCGUGAGACAUUCAUCGAGCAGAUGAAAGGUGUUAUGGACAAGGCAGAAGACAUGCUCAGUGGGGACACAGACGCUGACCACGGCUCUGACACAGGGACCAGCCCUCCACACCUGGGCACCUGUGGCAUGGCUACAAGGGAGGAGAAUGGACAGUCCCAAGCCAACGCUCCUGUGUACCAGCAGAACAGUGAGUCUACCCCUCCAGCUGCACCCGG